CUCUGCCAUGGAAGGGUCCACAGAAGUCAUAGGUUAGUCUGUUUCUUUCGUUUGCUUUGGAGACAGGGUCUCAUGCAGUCCAGACUGGCCUUGAACUCCUGCCUCGGCCUCCCGAGUCCUGGGACUGCAGGUUUCCCCAGAUCUGAGACUGGCCUGUCCACUUGGAUCUGGGUUACCAAGAUGGUGGAGGAGCCUUCUGCAGGGCUGCGGAACCAGCACUGAAAGAGAACAAAAGCCUCUCACAGACUGGGAAUGCGGCUCGGGGCUCAGCUCGCAGAAUGCUUGCCUGGUGUGCAUGAAGUGCUGACCCUGGUCCCCAGCACGGCAUAAACCCAUAAACUGAGCAAGCUCGUGCAUGCCUGAGAUCCAGCCAUCCAGAGACAGGAAGAUCAGAAGUUCGGUGUCAUUCCCAGCUGCUUAAGGAGUUCAAGGCUACCCUGGAAUACCUGAGUCCCAGGAAGAGGAACUAAGCCAGGUAUGAUAGCACAUGCCUGUAAUACCAGCACUAGGGAGGCUGAGGAGCAAGGGCUGCAAUAUAUAAGAAGUACCAGGCCAGCCAAGACAAUUAUUAAGCAAUGUCCUGUCUCAAAACAGACAGAUAAUAAUAAAAAAAAAACCUAAGGAAAACUGUAAGAUGGGUGUGGUGGCACACACCUGUAGUCACAGCAUUCAGGAGGCAGAGGAAGGAGGGAUGCUUGAGCUGAGUGUUCAAGACCAGCCUGGACUGCUGGAAGUUUUCUUACUGAUCUGACAAGAUAGCUGGCUAAAGGAACUUAAGAGAAUACGAUUUAUUUAUUUUUACUUAUUAUUAUUAUUUGGUUUUUAUGAGACAGGGUUUCUCUGUGUAACAGCCUGGCUGUCCUGGAACUCACGCUGUAGACCAGGCUGGCCUUGAACUCAGAGCUCUGUCUGCCUCUGCCUCCCGAGUGUGGGGAUUAAGGUGUGCACCACCAUGUAGACUAUCUUGGCUCACGAUUUAAGGAACACAGUCCAUCAUAGUGGAAAAUUUAUGGCGGUAGAAACAUGCUUACAUCUGGAUGGGCUUGGGCGCAGAAAGGUGAAUGCCUGUGCUCUACGGGCUUUGUCCUUUCCCUGUGUUUAUUGAGUCCAGGACCCCAGCCCACUUGAUGGUGCCACUGACAUUUUAGGUAGCUCUCCCACCCUCAGUUAAAACUCUCUGGAAAUGCCCUCACAGACCUGCCUAGAGAUACGUGUGCUGGAAGAUUCACCACCACAACCACAUAGCAAGACCCUCAUCUUGUAUCCUCACAUCGACUAUGUCGCUGAGAAUUACCUGGAUCUCCUGGUCUUGCUGUCUCCCCUCAAAUUCUGGGAUGAUGGGCACAGCACCCCCAUUUGUGUGGUGAUAGGGAUCAAACUCUUGGCUGGAGAUGAACUGAGAGCUCUGAGUGCUAGGCAAGAACUCUCUGAGCUACA